rnacentral:rRNA from 1 species
GUUACUGCUAUCGGGGUUCGAUUAAGCCAUGCAAGUUAAAUGUUUUUCGUAAACAUAGCGAACUGCUCAGUAACACGUGGAUAACUUAACCUUAGGUCCGGCAUAACCCCGGGAAACUGGGGAUAAUUCCGGAUGUAUCAAGGAUGCUGGAAUGCCCUUUGGUUCAAAGCUUUUGUGCCUAAGGAUAGGUCUGCGGUCUAUCAGGUAGUAGUGGGUGUAACGUACCUACUAGCCGACGACGGAUACGGGUUGUGAGAGCAAGAGCCCGGAGAUGGAUUCUGAGACACGAAUCCAGGCCCUACGGGGUGCAGCAGGCGCGAACACUUUACAAUGCGGGAAACCGCGAUAAGGGAACCCCGAGUGCCAGUACUAAGUGCUGGCUGUCUAGAUGAAUAGAUAUCAUUUAAUAGCAAGGGCCGGGCAAGACCGGUGCCAGCCGCCGCGGUAACACCGGCGGCCCGAGUGGUAACCGAUAUUAUUGGGUCUAAAGGGUCCGUAGCCUGUUUAAUAAGUCCUUUGGGAAAUCUGGCAGCUUAACUGUCAGGCUGCUAAAGGAUACUGUUAAACUUGGGACCGGUAGACGUAGGGGGUACUCCAGGGGUAGGAGUGAAAUCUUGUAAUCCCUGGGGGACCAUCUGUGGCGAAGGCGCCCUACGAGAACGGGUCCGACGGUGAGGGACGAAAGCUAGGGGAGCAAACCGGAUUAGAUACCCGGGUAGUCCUAGCUGUAAACGAUGCUCGCUAGGUGUCAGGCACGGUGCGUCCGUGUCUGGUGCCGCAGGGAAGCCGUUAAGCGAGCCACCUGGGGAGUACGGUCGCAAGGCUGAAACUUAAAGGAAUUGGCGGGGGAGCACUACAACGGGUGGAGCCUGCGGUUUAAUUGGAUUCAACGCCGGA